CCUACGGGAGGCAGCAGUGGGGACUAUUGCGCAAUGGGCGAAAGCCUGACGCAGCGACGCCGCGUGAGGGAUGAAGGUCUUUGGAUCGUAAACCUCUUUCAGCAGGGAAGAACGGUCACUGUGCUAAUCAGCAGUGAAUUUACGGUACCUUCAAAGUAAGCACCGGCUAACUCCGUGCCAGCAGCCGCGGUAAUACGGAGGGUGCGAGCGUUAAUCGGUAUUUCUGGGCGUAAGGGACUCGUAGGUGGUAGGUCAAGUCAAGGUGGAAAGCCCCAGCUCCAAGGGGGGAAGUGCCUUUGAAACUGGCAAACUGGAGUGUGGGAGAGGUGAGUGGAAUGCGAGGUGUAGGAGUGAAAUGCGUAGAUAUC
rnacentral:rRNA from 1 species